UCUCUCUUUAAAUGUGAUCAUACGGUCUAGAUCAAAUCGCAAUGAACGAUUCAAAUUUAUUUCAUCUUUAAAUGUGAUCGUAUGGUCGAGAUCAAACGCGAUGAACGGUACAGAUUUAAGGAAGAUAACUAUAAAUAUCUCACUUCACACCGAACCCAAACCCUAGCCGCAAGUCCCCCAUCGGAAAAAAAGAACCAGUCGUUGGAGAAGGGACCAACC
rnacentral:lncRNA from 1 species